rnacentral:tRNA from 3 species
GGAGAGGUGGCAGAGUGGUUGAAUGCGACGCACUCGAAAUGCGUAAACAGGGCGACCUGUUCAGGGGUUCAAAUCCCCUCCUCUCCU